GACGAACGCUGGCGGCGUGCUUAACACAUGCAAGUCGAACGGAAAGGCCCUGCUUUUGUUGGUUUCUCGUUUGACGAACGGGUGUGUAACACGUGUGUAUCCUGCCCUUGUCUUUCUGAUAACUUCUGGAAACUCGGGCUAAUACCGCAUAUGAUCUCCUGCUCCAUGUUGUUCGUUGGUAAGUUUCGGCUGUUGUGGCUCGACUCGCUGCUUAUCAGCUUGUUUGUGGGGUAGUGGCUUACCAAGGCUUUGACGGGUAGCCGGCCUGAGAGGGUGACCGGCGACAAGGGGACUGAGAUAGGGACCAGAAUGGAAAGGGAGGCAGCAGUGGGGAAUAUGACAGAAUGGGCGGAGGCGUGAUGGAGCAACGCCGCGAGCGGGAUGACGGGCUACGGGUUGUAAACAGAUUUGGAAGGAGACGAAGAGGGAGUGACGGUAAUGGGUAAAGAAGCACCGGCUAACUACGUG
rnacentral:rRNA from 1 species